GAUGAAGAACGUAGCGAAAUGCGAUAAGUAAUGUGAAUUGCAGAAUUCAGUGAAUCAUCGAAUCUUUGAACGCACAUUGCGCCCCCUGGUAUUCCGGGGGGCAUGCCUGUUCGAGCGUCAUUUCAACCCUCAAGCUCUGCUUGGUAUUGGGCGUCGCCGGGGAGUCUCCCCGGCGUGCCUCAAAGCCAUCGGCGGUGGUGCCUUUCUCUAAGCGUGGUAGAAUUUUUAUUCGCUUCUGAGUUGGACUUCGCCUGCCGGACAAACCGGGCCCUCGCGGCCCACCUUCUCAGGUUGACCUCGGAUCAGGUAGGGAUACCCGCUGAACUUAAGCAUAUCAAUAAGCGGAGGA
rnacentral:misc_RNA from 1 species